UACGUAGGCAGCGAGCGUUGUUCGGAGUUACUGGGCGUAAAGGGUGUGUAGGCGGUUGCUUAAGUUUGGUGUGAAAUCUCCCGGCUCAACUGGGAGGGUGCGCCGAAUACUGAGUGACUCGAGUGCGGGAGAGGAGAGUGGAAUUCCUGGUGUAGCGGUGAAAUACGUAGAUAUCAGGAGGAACACCGGUGGUGUAGACGGCUCUCUGGACCGUAACUGACGCUGAGACACGAAAGCGUGGGUAGCAAACAGG
rnacentral:rRNA from 1 species